GGUGCGGUAGUUCAGCUGGUUAGAAUACAUGCCUGUCACGCAUGGGGUC
rnacentral:tRNA from 1 species